rnacentral:rRNA from 1 species
CACGUAUUUAGCCGGAGCUUCUUAGUCAGGUACCGUCACUUUCUUCCCUGCUGAUAGGGCUUUACAUACCGAAAUACUUCUUCACCCACGCGGCGUUGCUGCAUCAGGGUUCCCCCGAUUGUGCAAUAUUCCCCACUGCUGCCUCCCGUAGGAGUCUGGGCCGUGUCUCAGUCCCAAUGUGGCCGUCCACUCUCUCAAGCCGGCUACUGAUCGCUGCCUUGGUGGGCCGUUACCCGCCACUAGCUAAUCAGACGCGGGCCCAUCCUGUACCACCGGAGUUUUCCCCGGCAGCGCCAUGCGGCACCGCGGGCUUAUGCGGUAUUAGCAGCCGUUUCCAGCUGUUGUCCCCCUGUACAGGGCAGGUUACCCACGCGUUACUCACCCGUCCGCCACUAGGCUGUAUGCUGCUUCCGCCGAAACGCUUCCGCUGCAUACGCCCCGGUUCGACUUGCAUGUGUUAGGCACGCCGCCAGCGUCAUCCUGAGCCAGGAUCAACUCUC